GAUGAACGCUAGCGACAGGCUUAACACAUGCAAGUCGAGGGGCAUCGGGACGUAGCAAUACGUUGCCGGCGACCGGCGGAUGGGUUGAGUAACGCGUAUGCAACCUGCCCACGACAGGGGGACAGCCCGUUGAAAGACGGAUUAAUACCCCAUAAAACAGGGGUUCCGCAUGGGACUAUUUGUUAAAGGGUUUUCCGCGAGGGGGAUCCGGUUGUGGAUGGGCAUGCGUUCCAUUAGGCAGUUGGUGAGGUAACGGCUCACCAAACCGACGAUGGAUAGGGGAACCGGGAGGUUGGUCCCCCACACUGGUACUGAGAUACGGACCAGACUCCUACGGGAGGCAGCAGUGAGGAAUUUUGGUCAAUGGACGGAAGUCUGAACCAGCCAAGUCGCGUGAAGGAAGGCGGCCCUAAGGGUUGUAAACUUCUUUUGUAAGGGAAUAAAGGCCGGUACGUGUUACCGGUUUGCAGGUACCUUACGAAUAAGGAUCGGCUAACUCCGUG
rnacentral:rRNA from 1 species